AAACUCAAUUAUGGACAGUAAAUUUUUUUUUUUAUUUAAAGCAGAAACCACCAACAGAAGAGAUCUGAGUUCAUAAGACCCAAAACAGUAGCCUAUAAGCUAUAAUUAGGGGCAGAAAGCUAGAACCCAGAUGAGAUUUUGGCCAAAAAAGUAUUGAAGAAAGAACUUUUGUACCAUUAGGGGCAGAAAUCUGUUCUUAUUUAUUGUUUCUUGUUUAUCGUACACAGGGCAUCAAAGUUAGAAACCAAAACAAGAAAUCAGAUGAGAACUUUAUGCUAAUUUCGCCAAGCAGAUCCACAGUUGAGAA